rnacentral:rRNA from 1 species
UACGUAGGGGGCAAGCGUUGUCCGGAAUCAUUGGGCGUAAAGCGCGUGUAGGCGGCCAGGUAAGUCCGUUCUGAAAGCCCGGGGCUCAACCCCGGGAGGCGGAUGGAUACUGCUUGGCUCGAGUCCGGAAGAGGUAAGUGGAAUUCCCGGUGUAGCGGUGAAAUGCGCAGAUAUCGGGAGGAACACCAAUGGCGAAGGCAGCUCACUGGGACGGUACUGACGCUGAGGCGCGAAAGCGUGGGGAGCAAACAGG